UUGCAACGUAUUCCCAAAUUUCGUUGAUCUCCUCUUCAGCUUUCUUCGUUAAAUCAUGAAGAGGAGAUCAACGAAAUUUGGGAAUACGUUGCA
rnacentral:miRNA from 1 species